UUUAACUUUUAACUUUUUGUUAUUGGUGCUUAUUAACUUAAUUUAACUGAGUUAAAAAAAAAUCAUUAACUUGCCUAGCCUUGCAGUUGAUGACAGAACUGAUGUUCAUGAAAGUCAGCUUAAGAAUAUGAGAAUUUGUUCAGUUCAUUUUAAAAUUGGUAAACCAGCCAUAUACAAUGAUUAUGAAAAUCCAGAUUGGAUACCAACCUUAAGCAUGGGCUAAAACUCGAGAAAAGGCAAAGCUACUCCUGCAAUUAAAAGGUACAAUCAUGCAAGUAGAAUAAUGGAAUUAAAACAUACGCGUUUGUUUCAAAAUACUGUAAAAUUAAAUGUGGUUGAUUCUUCUGAACCCAGUAUGAGCAUUGAUGUACAAAAUAAUUUGUUGAAUGAUGCUAUUGAAAAAAGUGGAACAGCUUGUAAUACUAAUCUUAAGUUAAAAGAUGACAGCGAGUUGGAGAAUUUAUGAGAUAAGUGUUCUGAAUUACAAAAUUAAAUAGAUUAUUUUAACUUGACUGAAAAAACAUUUAAUGGGUGGGAAAAAAUGUAUACUUAUUACACAGGACUUGAAUCAAUUGAUGUUUUUAAUUUAAUAUUAGAGCACAUUAAAUAUGGAUUAACUGAUAAUAAUCAGAGAUUAAACAAAUUUCAAAAACUUCUAUUGUUUCUAAUGAAAUUAAGAUUAAAUAUUCCAUUUACUGAUUUAAGUAAUAGAUUUAAUGUAACAUGUACAACAGUAUCAAUUAUUUUCAGAAAAGUCAUCAUAUUGUUAGAACACAUGUUUCUAAAAAUCUAACGUAUUGGCUAGAGAGGGAAGCUCUACGCAGUAAAAUUCCAAGAUCAUUUUUUUAAAUAUUUGGCAAUUCAGUUUCUUUUAUUAUUGAUUGUUUUGAAAUUGUUAUAGAAAAACCGUCAAAUUUAAAAGCAAGGGCACAACCAUGGUCAUCUUACAAAAAUAAAAAUACUGUAAAGUAUCUUAUAGCUAUAACUCCCUAUACCUGAGGGAUGGGUUGGCAGAGUUAGCGAUAAACAUAUAUUUGAAAAUUAUAACUUUAAAUAAUUUAAUUCUAGGAGAUGUUGUUUUGGCCGACAGAGGAUUUACUAUUAAUGAAAGUGUUGGUUUUCAUUGUGCUACAUUAAAGACUCCAGCAUUUAAAAAGGGUUUACCCCAGUUGCAUCCAUGCUCUAUAGAAGAAACUAGAAAAAUUGCAUUUGUCAGAAUUUUUAUUGAGAGUAUUAUUGGUCUGACUAGAUAAAAAUUUUAAAUUUUAAAUGGUCCAGCACAAAUAACCACUCUAAAAUAUCAAGAUGAUGAGACAUGAUAAUUAGAUUCUAUUGUAACUGUUUGCUGUGCAUUAAUAAAUAUGUGUAGUUCAGUCAUACCUUAAAGUUAAAAUUAUUAUAAUUGUAUUAAAAAAUAUGUAAUAUGAACAUUCAAAACUAUGUAAAUA